CAGAGUUUAUCCUGGCUCAGGAUGAACGCUAGCUACAGGCUUAACACAUGCAAGUCGAGGGGCAGCAUGGUCUUAGCUUGCUAAGGCUGAUGGCGACCGGCGCACGGGUGAGUAACACGUAUCCAACCUGCCGUCUACUCUUGGCCAGCCUUCUGAAAGGAAGAUUAAUCCAGGAUGGGAUCAUGAGUUCACAUGUCCGCAUGAUUAAAGGUAUUUUCCGGUAGACGAUGGGGAUGCGUUCCAUUAGAUAGUAGGCGGGGUAACGGCCACCUAGUCAACGAUGGAUAGGGGUUCUGAGAGGAAGGUCCCCCANAUUGGAACUGAGACACGGUCCAAACUCCUACGGGAGCA
rnacentral:rRNA from 1 species